rnacentral:misc_RNA from 1 species
ACGAAACUAAAAAAAAACGUAUUAUUAUCUAUAAAAUUUAAUACAUAAUAAUUGAUUAAUAAACCGGUUAAUUAUGAAGAUGUUUUUUUAAGCAGUGUACAUUGGCAGAGGUUGCCAUACAAAAUGUUGGUGCACUACCAUUCCACUUAUCAGAGCGUGAUUAUCUGACCCGAUUCAAGCCAAUCAAAAGAAAAUUAUAGGGAAGAAAAUAAAGGACGCAUUGAGGAUUGCAAGCAUAUAUGUUAAAGGAGCCUACCAUUCAUUCCUUAAUAAAAUAUUCAAUAUAUAAAUAGAAUCUGAAACUUCAAAUUCUUAGUUGAAAAAUUAGUUUUUGUUCAAAAAGUCAGUAUAUAAAAAGAAAACAUUUUGAUGCUAAUUAAAAGGGAAUUAAAAGUGAUCUCUGAAGUACAAACACAUUAUAUUCUUAUACGUACCUAGUAUAAUAAUCAUUACUAUCUACCUACCUUAAAUAAAUAAUGACAAAUUAAUGAAGGAUGGCAAUUUAUUGAAACAUUUCAUACAAGUAAUUGUUCUUAUUCAUAGGUGUAACUAGAGCUUACAUUUGGGGGGGGGGGUAUAAUAUCCAAUAUCACACUGACCCGCAGCUACCUACAAUCCCACACAUCCAUCUACUAAUUAACAUUCAAGCAACAAUUGUUACUAUUCACUAUUAUAAGUUCAGUUCUCAAUUUGAAACAUAAGAUUCUAAAACUUGUUAUUUUUAAUCUGGAAGAGCUAAUAAAAUAUUUAGAGAGGUUAAGCUCCAAUAAUCACACCUCGUUAGUUGAACCUAUGUUCCAAUCUUUUAUUAUUUUUAAGUUAACGCUAAUCUAUUUAAUUUGAAGAUUUAAAUGUAUUUAA